rnacentral:rRNA from 1 species
GAUGAACGCUGGCGGCGUGCCUAACACAUGCAAGUCGAGCGAUUUACUUCGGUAAAGAGCGGCGGACGGGUGAGUAACGCGUGGGUAACCUGCCCUGUACACACGGAUAACAUACCGAAAGGUAUGCUAAUACGAGAUAAUAUGCUUUUAUCGCAUGGUAGAAGUAUCAAAGCUUUUGCGGUACAGGAUGGACCCGCGUCUGAUUAGCUAGUUGGUGAGGUAACGGCUCACCAAGGCGACGAUCAGUAGCCGACCUGAGAGGGUGAUCGGCCACAUUGGAACUGGGACACGGUCCAAACUCCUACGGGAGGCAGCAGUGGGGAAUAUUGCACAAUGGGCGAAAGCCUGAUGCAGCAACGCCGCGUGAGCGAUGAAGGCCGUCGGGUCGUAAAGCUCUGUCCUCAAGGAAGAUAAUGACGGUACUUGAGGAGGAAGCCCCGGCUAACUACGUG